rnacentral:hammerhead_ribozyme from 1 species
AUUCAGCUGACGAAUCCUAAAAUAGGACGAAUCGCGCGUCCUAGAU